CAAAGGCCCUCUGGGCUGUGGGAGCUCCCAGCUCUCUCUCAGACAGGGCUGAGGUCUCUGGGAAGGCAGGUGUGGUCUAGAAGAUGAGGCUGCUGGGUCUUGUCCUGUGCCUGGUCACAGCUCCUCAAGGUGUCCUGUGCCAGGUGCAGCUGAAGGAGUCAGGACCUGGCCUGGUGAAGCCCUCACAGACCCUGUCCCUCACCUGUGCUGUCUCUGGUUACUCCAUCACCAGUGGUUACUGCUGGAGCUGGAUCCGUCAGCCCCCAGGGAAGGGGCUGGAGUGGAUAGGGUGCAUAGGUUAUGAUGGUAGCACUUACUACAACCCAUCCAUCAAGAGCCGAGUGUCCAUCUCCAGGGACACGUCCAAGAACCAGUUCUCCCUGCAGCUGAGCUCCCUGACCACUGAGGACACGGCCACCUAUUACUGUGCCAGAGACACAGUCCUGCUGCUGCUGGGCUCCACCUCAGGGACCAUGGCAGUGUCUGGGGUCAGUCUGGGUGUCUGCAGGGCAGUGGGCCUCUCCUGA